rnacentral:lncRNA from 1 species
CGAAGGCAGCGAGGCGGACUCUGAGGUCCCAGGCCCGACCCUCCCACAGCAAGCGGCCCCAGCAACCGCAGCCCUCCCCUUGCUCUGUCACCCGUGUCGCCGCGGCACACUCAGGCCCCGCCCCCAGGGCCGCCUCUGCGUCCAGGCCUAGUAGGGCGGACCCGCAGAGGUCGGCCAGGUUCGAGGACCCGGCAGGGCCCGCGCCGCUUACCGAGCCCCCGGCUUCUCUAGCACCCUAGCAGCUCGCAGGCCUGCUCGCUCCCGACUCCGGCGACGCCGCCACUGCUCCGGAAUCACGGGCGCGUUCCCGACCUCCCGACACUUUUCCCCCAGGCCGCCGCUCCCCGCCGGGUCCUAAAACCCUCCGCUCUUCAGGUUCUUUCACGCCCUCUUCCUGAAGCGGGUUCAGACCACGAUUCCCAGCAAGCAUCGCAAAAACUACAACUCCCAACAGACACCGCGAGAGAACUAGCCCUUCACCUGAAGUCACUGGCUUUAAAUCGGCUCUAGUAGAGGUUUUCCGAGAAAAAGUCUGUCCAGCCUGGUCUACAUAGUGAGUUCCAGGGCAGCCAGGGCUACACAGAGAAACCCUGCCUCACAAAAAUAAGAACAACAAUGUUUUCAAAGAAUUCUUGGUGCUCUUGUAGAGAGGACUUGAGUUGGACUCUCAACAACAAUGUCAGGCAGUUUACAACUGACUGUAACUUCAAAGGAACCUGCACACAUACUACAUACACCUGCAUAGAUGUGCACAUACAUU